CCUACGGGUGGCAGCAGUGAGGAAUAUUGGUCAAUGGGCGCGAGCCUGACGCAGCGAAGUAGCGUGAAGGAUGACUGCCCUACGGGUUGUAAACUUCUUUUAUAAAGGAAUAAAGUGACGCACGUGUUCCUUUUUGUAUGUACUUUAUGAAUAAGGAUAGGCUAACUCCGUGCCAGCAGCCGCGGUACUACGGAGGAUCCGAGCGUUAUCCGGAUUUGUUGGGUGUAAAGGGAGCGUAGAUGGGUUGUUAAGUCAGUUGUGAAAGUUUGCGGCUCAACGGUAAAAUUGCAAUUGAUACUGGCAGCCUUGAGUACAGUUGAGGUAGGCGGAAUUCGUGGUGUAGCGGUGAAAUGCGUAGAUAUCACGAAGAACUCCGAUUGCGAAGGCAGCUUACUAAACUGCCACUGACAUUGAUGCUCGAAAGUGUGGGUAUCAAACAGGAUUAGAUACCCGGGUAGUC
rnacentral:rRNA from 1 species